rnacentral:rRNA from 1 species
GACGAACGCUGGCGGCGUGCUUAACACAUGCAAGUCGAACGGAAAGUCCCUGCUUUUGUGGGGUGCUCGAGUGGCGAACGGGUGAGUAACACGUGAGUAACCUGCCCUUGACUUUGGGAUAACUUCAGGAAACUGGGGCUCAUACCGGAUAGGAGCUCCUGCUGCAUGGUGGGGGUUGGAAAGUUUCGGCGGUUGGGGAUGGACUCGCGGCUUAUCAGCUUGUUGGUGGGGUAGUGGCUUACCAAGGCUUUGACGGGUAGCCGGCCUGAGAGGGUGACCGGCCACAUUGGGACUGAGAUACGGCCCAGACUCCUACGGGAGGCAGCAGUGGGGAAUAUUGCACAAUGGGCGGAAGCCUGAUGCAGCAACGCCGCGUGCGGGAUGACGGCCUUCGGGUUGUAAACCGCUUUCGCCUGUGACGAAGCGUGAGUGACGGUAAUGGGUAAAGAAGCACCGGCUAACUACGUG